AGUGUUGGUGACCACACAGGAGAAGGUGCCCAGAUCCUCCAGGGAAGGAUCAUUGAAGAUAGCUCUGGAUCUGGAGACAAGGACACAACAGAGCAUUCGAAGACCAUAGAGAUGACACCAUCAUCAUCAACAUCCACAUAAAUCUCUUUGGUGUCUAAGGAAGAAAUAGACUUUCCCAGCCUGUGUGGAAACACUAUGUAACUGAAUGUGUGAGUUACAUAACAAUCACACUCACCAGGA